CCCAUGCGUGAAAUUGAUUACAGCGUGUUUAAGGACAUUUAGGACAGUUGUACUGAGGUAUUUCCAGAAAUAAAACACCUUGUAUAAAAUCUUUAUGUACGUUUUAAAAAGUGGUCCUUAACUUUUUUUGAGUAGUGUAUAUUACUAGACUGAAAGCUGCGUGCGCGUUCAACACAAAACAAAUGAGAUUAGGCUCCGCCUACCGCGAUCAUUUGAAGACAAAAAUAAGCCCUCAUUGACAUUCAUGACCAUGAAGAUAUUCAUAAUCCAGCCUUUUCAUUGGCUAAGAGCAUUAUUAAUACGAUUCUUAGUCAUCGAUACUAGUGGUAUCGUGUUACAGAAUUAAUCAUUCAUUAGACCUCAUUACAUCAUCUAAUUUAUUCAUUCUGAAACUUUUCUUUCCACUUAAAAAAUGGACCUACGAACACUCUGGUGAGUACGUAUAAAUUGAUAUAACCACAUGAAUUAAGUGAACUAUUUACACAUUUCACACUGUGUUUUUUUAUCUUAGGUUACUUCUUUAACAAAUUAGAGAUUUUGCUAUCAUUCUUCUGUUAAAGUAAAGCAGAAUUUGGUCUUUGAAAUUGAAGUUAAAUUGUCAUCGUCGCCCAGUGCAGCCUGUAUGUUGCUUGCAGUGUUGUGGUUAUGCCGCUGUGUUAACCAUAUGUAUUUUGUACGGGCUCCUAGCCGGCUGGGCAUCGAGAGAAAAUCGGGCCGGUUUGGUUCACCUCAAACAAGGACCAGCCCACGAUUGAUUAAAACAAGAAUAAUGAAGCUUCUUUUUGUACACUGUAACGGUAGAUCUAGAGGGAGAUCUGCAUCUAUCUUCAGUAGAUCAAGACUCAGUCAGGAAUAAACUGUGAAGCGGAGUGUGGAUGGAGAUGCGCCUGUCAUUGUGUAAAUCCUCACUUUCAGUUUCAGAUAAAAUUUAUUUAGCAUAACUUCAGGCUUCUGCAUUUAGCCCCAUCCAUUUUAACUCUUAUUGUUAUUUAUAGAUAUAGUUAGACUAUAUAUUAGAAAUAUCAUGCUGCUCUGCAUGUUUGUCUUAUUAUCAAUAGAUCUAGAACCUAGAUCUAAUUUAUAACUUGGUUAACAGAGGAUUCUAGUCUUGCUUCUUAAUCCUACUUACUUUAUACUUUAUUCAUCGAGGCUAUCUAGGCCUACCUAAUUCAAAUCUAGUCAUCUAACUUAUACUUUCCCAACCCUCGACACUUACCCCCAGGGCUUAUGAUCUAGGUCUGUAAUUUAGGCCUAGAUCUAGGUCUGGGCCUAAAUGUAACUGUACGAGUAUGACUGUCAGUGUCAGUGGACCAAGGACUAGAUCUAGAUCUACUCUCGGUCAAACAAAAAGUUUUAGCCAGGAAUAAAAGUCAGAGUCAGACAUCAAAAAUGUCUAAAUCGAUAUAGAUCUCGGUUUAGAAUCAAAGCUUUCCUUUCUAGGUCUAGAUAGAUCGAGAGUCCAUCGUUAGUCUAGAUCUAUACCUAAUUUAGAUACAUGAAUGCUGUCGCACAUCACGGAGUCUCGUUGGACUAGAUCUAUACUUUCUUACAAAUGGAUCUAGACCUAGUGCAUGAGAUUAUGAAAUUAUCUUAAAAUCAAAUGAAAUAAGAUUCCGAAAUAAAAAGAUGCAGAUUUUUUGGGGGAGUGGGCAGACGUGAAAAUUUUUAGAGAAACCUGAAAUUUAAAAAGCGAGGGCCAGAAACGACCAAUAUUACCUAGGGCCGUUUUGUGCAUUUUCUAGAGUAAAAUUGAAGGAUGUCAUGCAAUUCUUUUUGGAAGAAGGUUUUCACAUUUCAGCUCCCACCCAAACCUCUCCCUCUAUAUAUACGGCCAUGAAAAAGAUCACUUCUUAUUAUUUUUCUCUCUUUUCUUUCAUAAACAGGUUGAGUUUGAAGAACAAGAAAAACAGUAGAGGUCUACCUAUAUGGUUAAAGAUGAUGAUCAUAAGUGCAUGCAUCAUUUCGCAGAUUCUCAUCCAGGAUGAUGCAGUUUUACAAUUUCCAUAGAGAUGAUUGAUGAUGAUGAAUAAUUGGUGAAGUAUGCCUAAUAGAACAGUGACUGGACCACAAAGAGAAAUACAACCUACAGCAGUUAUAUGAGACUGGUGUAACAAAUGUUUUCAUUCAACAAAUCCAACAAUUCAAAAUUGAAGAGUCUGACUUAGGAACCACUUGAUGAAGAUGGAAAAGCUUUUUUCUUUCAAGUCCAAAAAAAAAUUAUUAUCACAACCCCAAAUUCAUGAUGCAUGUAAUUUUCUGUUUAUUUUCAUUAAAACUGGUUGCAAGAGGAAAAGCUAUAACAUACAAAUAGCAGCGGCGGAGUAAAGUUGAAAGUGUGGGGGGGGGGGGCACAUA